AAGGUACAUCUUUAAUAACCCUUUCUGCAAGUGACCAAGACGAUGGAGACAUAAUCACAUACAGCAUUGCUUCUGGAGAUACAAACAACGACUUCACAAUUGCGAUUGCUGAGCUCCAGGUCAAUACAGGGAAAACACUUGAUAUGUCAAAGGCAUCUACUUAUACACUUAUCGUACAUGCCAUUGAUGAUGACACUACAAAACAAACUGGAUCAGCUACAUAUACUAUCAACGUAAAGUCUGACUGUGGUAACGGUGCACCAGCUUUGGUCGCAACCAGCAUGACCAUCUUAAUGGCACUUGUCGCAUUUUUGGUCUAAAUUCAAAAGGCCAUGUUUGGUACUGUCAAAAUAUGUAAAAUAUAAAAAAAUGUAUAUUUAAUCAGUUGCCUUAAAACAUAAAAAACAAAAAUAGUUCGUCUUCAAUCUUUCGAUAACUGUGUUUAGGUCAAACCCGGAAAAAAACCAAACCCGCGUUAUUGUGAUGGCAGCGACGCAGACACUUUAGCAACGACUGGAACUGUUAUUGACUUUAAAUACAUUUUAAAAGGUUAUCAGAACAUCACCAUUGUCCAUUGCAAUUGACCCUUGUUUUGACAUUCCUAUUCUCUGUCCAUGAACAAAACCUACAGCCAGCUACACGCUUAAAUAUUUACUUUAAUGUUAAGUCCAUGUAUUAGACUUUUGCUUUGAAUUAAUGUUCGAAAGUCUACGCCUUUUUUGUAUUUCUUGUGUGAUUUUAUCUUUUGUGUGUAUGUCUGUAAUUGUUUGAGCAGCGAAAUGAUAUCAGUGAUGAGAUACAAGCGUAUUGAUAUUUGAUUCAUUUUGCUAUUGUUUAAAUUCAAAACUUGUAUUGUAACGUUAACAGGUAAAUAGAAAAAAUACCACACAACCAUGUAAUGUACGAUAGUUCUUUUAUUACAAAUGACAUAAUUACUUUCUAAAUUUGACUUUCACUCCGAUUGACAUUUGUUAUGUA